rnacentral:SRP_RNA from 1 species
GCCGGGUGAGGUGGCUCUCACCUGUAAUCCAAGCUACCUGGAGGCUGAAGCUGGAGGAUUGCUUGAGCUCAGGAGCUCUGAGCUGCAGUGGGCUAUGUUGAGCGGGGGUCCACACUAAGUUCAGUAUAGAUAUGGUGUUCCUGGGGGGUGAACCGGCCCAGGUCGGGAACGGAGCAGGUCAAAUCCCCCGUACUGCUCAGUAGUGGGAUCGCCCCUGUGAAUAGAUGCUGUAGUUGAGCCUGAGUGACACGGUGAGACCCAGUCUUU